rnacentral:rRNA from 1 species
UUGCCAGACUCCUACGGGAGGCAGCAGUGGGGGAUAUUGCACAAUGGGGGAAACCCUGAUGCAGCGACGCCGCGUGGGCGAAGAAGUAUUUCGGUAUGUAAAGCCCUAUCAGCAGGGAAGAAGAAAUGACGGUACCUGAGUAAGAAGCACCGGCUAAAUACGUGCCAGCAGCCGCGGUAAUACGUAUGGUGCAAGCGUUAUCCGGAUUUACUGGGUGUAAAGGGAGCGUAGACGGCCAUGCAAGCCAGGGGUGAAAGCCCGGGGCCCAACCCCGGGACUGCAUUUGGAACUGUAAGGCUAGAGUGUCGGAGAGGCAGGCGGAAUUCCUAGUGUAGCGGUGAAAUGCGUAGAUAUUAGGAGGAACACCAGUGGCGAAGGCGGCCUGCUGGACGAUGACUGACGUUGAGGCUCGAAAGCGUGGGGAGCAAACAGGAUUAGAUACCCGAGUA